rnacentral:rRNA from 1 species
CCUACGGGAGGCAGCAGUGAGGAAUAUUGGUCAAUGGCCGUAGGGCUGAACCAGUCAAGUCGCGUGAAGGAAGAAGGAUCUAUGGUUUGUAAACUUCUUUUAUAGGGGAAUAAAGGUAUCCACGUGUGGCUAUUUGCAUGUACCCUAUGCAUAAGCAUCGGCUAACUCCGUGCCAGCAGCCGCGGUAAUACGGAGGAUUCGAGCGUUAUCCGGAUUUAUUGGGUAUAAAGGGUGCGUAGGUUGUUUUUUAAGUCAGCGGUUAAAGUUUGUGGCUUAACCAUAAAAUUGCCGUUGAAACUGGAAUUCUUGAGUGUAGGAGAGGUAGGCGGAAGUCGGGGGGUAGCGGUGAA